rnacentral:rRNA from 2 species
UGGGGAAUAUUGGACAAUGGGCGAAAGCCUGAUCCAGCCAUGCCGCGUGUGUGAAGAAGGUCUUCGGAUUGUAAAGCACUUUAAGUUGGGAGGAAGGGCAGUAAGUUAAUACCUUGCUGUUUUGACGUUACCGACAGAAUAAGCACCGGCUAACUCUGUGCC